rfam:Poecilia formosa, whole genome shotgun sequence.
GUUUCUAUAGUGUAGUGGUUAUCACGUUUGCUUCACAUGCAAAAGGUCUCUGGUUC